CCUGUGAUUGCUGAAGGGUGAAGGUGUUGGACUCAAAAUCCAGUAGGGAUUCCCUAAGCGUGUUUGAAUCCUGCUCACAGCC
rnacentral:tRNA from 1 species